rnacentral:rRNA from 1 species
UACGAAGGGUGCAAGCGUUACUCGGAAUUACUGGGCGUAAAGCGUGCGUAGGUGGUUUGUUAAGUCUGUUGUGAAAGCCCCGGGCUCAACCUGGGAAUGGCAAUGGAUACUGGCAAGCUAGAGUGCGGUAGAGGGUAGUGGAAUUCCCGGUGUAGCGGUGAAAUGCGUAGAGAUCGGGAGGAACACCGAUGGCGAAGGCGGGUCUCUGGGCCGAUACUGACGCUGAGGAGCGAAAGCGUGGGGAGCGAACAGG